rnacentral:lncRNA from 1 species
AUAGAAGCAUACUUUUAAACCAAAAUUAGUAUUUCAGUCUAAUUCAAUAACCAGUCUACCUGUGGGCAAAGCACAAGUUAUUCCUUAGUUUUCCUAAACUACAACAUAUUUUAAUUCCUACAACAUGAUCAGUCAACACCUGUGGGCAAGAAGAAAGGAUCAUACUGCACUUUAAGAAGUAAAACAUAUCAUAUUUAGAACCACAUUUGUUAUCAAAGAUAAGUAAAGUUUAAAGCCAUCUGUAGAUGAUACAGUCCCUAUUUCAACAAAAAAUAUGCAAUUUUCAGGUAUGUGCCUUAGUUACAAGAACCAUUCAAAAAUAGUUUGCUGUGGCAACAUGUAUUUCAAAAUUUCUAUUAACUAAAUACCUGUGAUCAUUACUUUACGUUUUCCCAAUUCCAAUUUCAUAAAACUGUCAGAAAACCAAUCAUGCUCAAUCUUGAUAUUUCAACAAACAUAUAUAUAGAUUUGGGAGUAAAAAUAAUACAUAUCUGUCAAUUUCAAUCUUAAGCUAUGCGUGAUCAUACAUUCAAGUACUCAGAAUCACCACAAUUUCAUCAAAUCAUUCAUAAGCAUACAAUCACAGUAAUUCACAUUCCAUAUCAUGCAUGCCAUCUUUCAAACAAUUCGAAAUUGAAGUUUCAUCUGGGCACCUCAACCUACUCCCCAGGCGAGUUCUAAGGUUCAUAUGCAUGAUUCAAUCGCAUAAAACAGUAAAAAUCUCAAAUUUCAUUGAGAUUGAAAAUGUACCAGGACGCUCCCGCGCUUGCAAAACAGAGUUAGUAACAACAAUAUGUAUUUCAGAAUCAAAAUCGCGCACUAACCAUGUAUAUCAUAACUAUCACGCAGCGAAAAGAUCAUCACAAAAUCGAAUUUUUUUUUUUNUUUUCG